AUGCUUAUUAGCAGGGAUGCGAUUUUGCAGAGGAAAUUCGACUCCCCAUCUUUGUCUUGGAUGGCAAUGGUGAAUUAUGUAAGAAUAGGAAACCAAGUCUGCACUGGGUUUGGCAGCUUCUGGUGUUGGUCGAUGCAAUCAACAAUGGACACUGCUGGAAGGAAACCAAGAACAGGAAGUUUGUCUCUGCCUGCUCGAAUGAGCAAGCUAAGGGCUGCAAAUGUCCACAAGGCUUCAAGGGUGACGGCAUACACGGCUGCAAAGGUAUCGCCAGUACAAACAUUGAUCUGCAACCUUGUGGGCAAUAUUGUUCCAUGUUUGCAUGUGCUUAUGUACUCCCUCAAUACAAACAUUGUUUCUUGGAGUAUAUUUUAG
rnacentral:rRNA from 1 species